AUCACUUCUCAGCCCUUUAGCUAAGAUCAAGUGUAGUAUCUAUUCUUAUGUUUAAUAAAAUUUAUUUAUGCAGUGAUUUCCUACUCAUUUGCUAAAAUUUGGAUCAAAGACAUAGCAAGUCGGCCCCAGUGUUUUCCUGUUCUACAGUAUGAUCACAUUGAUAUACUGUUAUAACAUCACAC